rnacentral:rRNA from 1 species
AUUGAACGCUGGCGGCAGGCCUAACACAUGCAAGUCGAGCGAGCGGCGGACGGGUGAGUAAUGUAUGAAGAUCUGCCUGAUGUAGGGGGAUAACUACUGGAAACGGUAGCUAAUACCGCAUACCAUCAGAUGAACCCAUAUGGUAUUAGCUUGUAGGUGUGGGAACGGCUCACCUAGGCGACGAUCCCUAGCUGGUCUGAGAGGAUGAUCAGCCACACUGGGACGGAGACACGGCCCAGACUCCUACGGGAGGCAGCAGUGGGGAAUAUUGGACAAUGGGCGCAAGCCUGAUGCAGCCAUGCCGCGUGAAUGAAGAAGGUCUUCGGGUUGUAAAGCACUGUCAGUAGGGAGGCGUUACCGACAGAAGAAGCACCGGCUAACUCCGUGCCAGCAGCCGCGGUAAUAC